CCCAGUUCGGAUCGCAGGCUGAAACCCGCCUGCGUGAAGUUGGAAUCGCUAGUAAUCGCGGAUCAGCAUGCCGCGGUGAAUACGUUCCCGGGCCUUGUACACACCGCCCGUCACACCAUGAGAGUCGGGAACACCCGAAGUCCGUAGUCUAACAGCAAUGGGGGCGCGGCCGAAGGUGGGUUCGAUAAUUGGGGUGAAGUCGUAACAAGGUACC
rnacentral:rRNA from 1 species